AAAAAAGUUUACUUUUCCAAGCACUGUAAUUGGCUGGUCUGCUUACUCUGUGGAGGUCUGUGAGCCUAAUACGAGCAACUCUGGUAUCUCCAAAGCUACUGCAAGAUGCACGAAUAGCACGGUGUUUGAUGAUCUUCAGGAGAUAGACUGUGGACUCACCCUGGAUAAACUUCUGAAUAAUAUUUCUGGCCCUAUCAAUCAGGAGGAUGCGCAGAAGCUUGCAACCAGUACACAGAUGCUGACCUCCAAUCCAGCUAAACUAAACGCAUCAGAAAU